rnacentral:rRNA from 1 species
GACGAACGCUGGCGGCGUGCUUAACACAUGCAAGUCGAGCGGAGCGGCGAACGGGUGGAUAACGCGUGAGUAACUGCCCCCCUCUCUGGGAUAACAGUUGGAAACGGCUGCUAAUACCGGAUAGUGGGGGAUGACUCGCGUCCUAUCAGCUUGUUGGUGGGGUAGUGUCCUACCAAGGCGACGAGUGGAAGCCGGCCUGGGCGGGCGAACGGCCACAUGGGGCUACGAGACGGCCCAAUGUCGUAUGGGGGGCAGCGGGGGCGAAUAUGGCACAGUCGGGGAAACUGUGUUGCAGCAACGCCGCGUUCGGGAUGACGUCCUUCGGGUUGUAAACGGCUUUCAGCCAUGACGCGGUAGUGGCAGAAGAAGCACCGGCUAACUACGUGCCAGCAGCCGCGGUAAUUC